rnacentral:rRNA from 1 species
GAUGAACGCUAGCGGGAGGCCUAACACAUGCAAGCCGAGCGGUAUUGUUUCUUCGGAAAUGAGAGAGCGGCGUACGGGUGCGUAACACGUGUGCAACCUGCCUUUAUCUGGGGGAUAGCCUUUCGAAAGGAAGAUUAAUACUCCAUAAUAUAUUGAACGGCAUCGUUUAAUAUUGAAAGCUCCGGCGGAUAGAGAUGGGCACGCGCAAGAUUAGCUAGCUGAUGAGGUAACGGCUCACCAAGGCGAUGAUCUUUAGGGGGCCUGAGAGGGUGAUCCCCCACACUGGUACUGAGACACGGACCAGACUCCUACGGGAGGCAGCAGUGAGGAAUAUUGGUCAAUGGGUGCAAGCCUGAACCAGCCAUCCCGCGUGAAGGACGACUGCCCUAUGGGUUGUAAACUUCUUUUGUAUAGGGAUAAACCUACCCUCGAGAGGGUAGCUGAAGGUACUAUACGAAUAAGCACCGGCUAACUCCGUG